UUGAACUGUGUGAUGGGAAACUGUCAUACACAGUUCUGAUGGGGAAAGGCUCCGUGAGGCUCCCGACCUACCAGAU
rnacentral:ncRNA from 1 species